AUGAACGCUGGCGGCUUGCCUAAUACCUGCAAGUCGAACGCUGGAGAUCUAGCUUGCUAGAUCGAAGGAGUGGCGAACGGGUGAGUAAUACAUAAGCAACCUACCCACGAAGACUGGGAUAAUCUCUGGAAACGGGGACUAAUACCGGAUAGGUAAUCGGAAGGCAUCUUCUGGUUAUUAAAGGUUAAAAACACUGGUGGAUGGGCUUAUGGCGCAUUAGUUAGUUGGUGAGGUAACGGCCCGCCAAGACGAUGAUGCGUAGCCGGCCUGAGAGGGUGAACGGCCACAUUGGGACUGAGACACGGCCCAGACUCCUACGGGAGGCAGCAGUAGGGAAUUUUCGGCAAUGGGGGCAACCCUGACCGAGCAACGCCGCGUGAGUGAAGACGGCCUUCGGGUUGUAAAGCUCUGUUGUAAGGGAAGAACGGUAGAUAGAGAAUAUCUAAGUGACGGUACCUUACCAGAAAGCCACGGCUAACUACGUG
rnacentral:rRNA from 1 species